AUGCCUGUAGUAGUUAUUAAAAGAAAACCUAAAAAGAUUUCCUGUUCUUCUUUUGCUUGUUGGGAGCUUUCCUGUGUAAAUAUUUUUAUUUCUUUUCUUGUUCUUUGGGCGUCGAGAGGAGAAGACCAUAAUGAAAAUGUUGAAGUGGCUCUCAUAUGCAUUAUUGUUGAUUUAACAAAGAGCCCAUAUUAUCUUGUCUUCUCCCGUGUGUCAGAUGCCUGCAGAUUCCAGCUUAGUCCAAUGCGCGUGCACUAUUAUUAUUAUUCACAUCGUUCGGUCGUGCAAGUGAAAGGCAAUAAUGACGAUAUAUGA
rnacentral:rRNA from 1 species